CUGAGAAUAGUGAGAAUUAGUUAUAGGGAAAGCAAGGGUACAUUUAGAUCUAGAUUCUACUAGGUUUACAUGGAUAUCGCAUUAAACAUCACCCAGAGCCUUGUCUUCCCCCAUGGUCUGAAGAAAAUGUAUACAUUUAAUAAUUGAUCUUUAGAUCUUUUAAGUUCAAUGCCAUGUCCUCAAUAUUUAUUUUCAUUAUUGUAUUGUUUUUAUUAAUACAUAUGUACAUUGAGUAACAUUGUUUUUAUUUCUAAAGGCUUAUUGACCAGAGUGCUUAGUCUUAGUAAAGACGACUGGUGGAUCUGUAUUAGUUAUACCUGACUAGAAGUAGCUGGACAGUACUUCAGCAUUAUCAUCAUAAAUUUUCCUCAAUUCUUUACAGAGGAAGGUCUUUGGGAGACUGUUCAUGGAAGGGAUUCUCAAAUUCAACAAAAGAGCUCACAUAAGAAAUGCAAAAUAAACACUUAUGGUUGGGAAAGAAAAAA
rnacentral:sRNA from 1 species